UACGGGGGGAGCAAACGUUGUUCGGAAUUACUGGGUGUAAAGGGUUCGUAGGCGGUGCGGCAAGUUGGGAGUGAAAUCUCUGGGCUUAACCCAGAGGCUGCUUCCAAAACUGCUGUGCUUGAGUGUGGGAGAGGCGCGUGGAAUUGCAGGUGUAGCGGUGAAAUGCGUAGAUAUCUGCAGGAACACCCGUGGCGAAAGCGGCGCGCUGGACCACUACUGACGCUGAGGAACGAAAGCUAGGGGAGCAAACAGG
rnacentral:rRNA from 1 species